CAAUAGCGUAUAUUUAAGUUGUUGCAGUUAAAAAGCUCGUAGUUGGAUUUCGGAUGGGACUUGCCGGUCCGUCGUUUCGAUGUGCACUGGCCAGUCCUAUCUUGUUGUCGGGGACUAGCUCCUGGGCUUCACUGUCCGGGACUAGGAGCUGACGAGGUUACUUUGAGUAAAUUAGAGUGUUCAAAGCAAGCCUACGCUCUGAAUACAUUAGCAUGGAAUAACACGAUAGGACUCUGGCUUAUCUUGUUGGUCUGUGAGACCAGAGUAAUGAUUAAGAGGGACAGUCGGGGGCAUUCGUAUUUCAUUGUCAGAGGUGAAAUUCUUGGAUUUAUGAAAGACGAACUUCUGCGAAAGCAAUUGUCAAGGAUGUUUUCAUUA
rnacentral:rRNA from 1 species